UGUGUAAGAUACUAGAAGAGAGUUUUUCAUAUGGUGGAAGGUUUGGUCAUGGUUCAUGGUGUGAAAAAUAGAGAAGAUGAUCCUCUCUCUUGGGGUGUGCGCAAAAAUUUGAAUUUCAGAUUUUUGAUCCUUUGGAUUUGGGAAGAGGAAAUAAAUUUUAAAAAAAAUAUUUUCUUCUCUAUCUUUCUUUCAUCACUUUAUCUCCUCCAGAA
rnacentral:lncRNA from 1 species